GACGAACCGUCCAAACGUUAUUCGGAAUUAUUGGGCUUAAAGGGUGCGUAGGCUGUGCAGUAAGUUGGGUGUGAAAUCCCUCGGCUCAACCGAGGAACUGCGCCGAAUACUGCUGUGCUAGAGGAAGAUAGGGGUAAGCGGAACUGAUGGUGGAGCGGUGAAAUGCGUUGAUAUCAUCAGGAACACCGGUGGCGAAGGCGGCUUACUGGAUCUUUUCUGACGCUGAUGCACGAAAGCUAGGGGAGCGAACGGGAUUAGAUACCCCGGUAGUCCUAGCUGUAAACGAUGAGCACUUGGUCGGAGGCUCCUCCAUAGGCUUCUGGCCGUAGCGAAAGUGUUAAGUGCUCCGCCUGGGGAGUAUGGUCGCAAGGCUGAA
rnacentral:rRNA from 1 species